rnacentral:rRNA from 1 species
AACGAACGCUGGCGGCAGGCUUAACACAUGCAAGUCGAACGGAUCCUUCGGGAUUAGUGGCAGACGGGUGAGUAACGCGUGGGAACGUACCCUUUGCUACGGAAUAACUCAGGGAAACUUGAGCUAAUACCGUAUGUGCCCUACGGGGGAAAGAUUUAUCGGCAAAGGAUCGGCCCGCGUUGGAUUAGCUAGUUGGUGGGGUAAUGGCCUACCAAGGCGACGAUCCAUAGCUGGUCUGAGAGGAUGAUCAGCCACACUGGGACUGAGACACGGCCCAGACUCCUACGGGAGGCAGCAGUGGGGAAUAUUGGACAAUGGGCGCAAGCCUGAUCCAGCCAUGCCGCGUGAGUGAUGAAGGUCUUAGGAUUGUAAAGCUCUUUCACCGGUGAAGAUAAUGACGGUAGCCGGAGAAGAAGCCCCGGCUAACUUCGU